rnacentral:rRNA from 1 species
AUACGGAGGAUGCGAGCGUUAUCCGGAUUUAUUGGGUUUAAAGGGUGCGUAGGCUGUGCGUUAAGUCAGGGGUGAAAUGCCGUCGCUCAACGGCGGAGCUGCCCUUGAUACUGGCGUGCUGGAGUACGGAUGCCGUUGGAGGAAUGAGUGGUGUAGCGGUGAAAUGCUUAGAUAUCACUCAGAACACCGAUUGCGAAGGCAUCUGACGAAUCCGUCACUGACGCUGAGGCACGAAAGCGUGGGGAUAGAACAGGAUUAGAUACCCUGGUAUUCCACGCCGUAAACGAUGAUGACUAACCGUCGGCGAUAGACAGCCGGUGGCCAAGCGAAAGCGAUAAGUCAUCCACCUGGGGAGUACGUCGGCAACGAUGAAACUCAAAGGAAUUGGCGGGG